rnacentral:lncRNA from 1 species
GGUCAGGACCCCCAUAGGCUUGAGUUUCAACAUUGCCAGCAACUUUAGUAGCUACAAGAUCUUGGGCAGGGCAUUUAGCCUGUGUGGGACUCAGUUUCUUCAUCUGUAAAAAGGACAUGCUAAUAACAGCCCUACCAAACUCACAGAAUUGCUAUGAGAGUUACUUCUUGAGAGUAAGGACUCAACUUCUCCAUUUUGUACCUGUGUGAAAUUCCGCCCAGCAUCCUGCAUUUAGGAACAGUGCCUACUUGAUGAUUUAAAACAUGAGAUAAUGGGGGAAACCUCUCAGGCAAAGCAUCAGAAAUGAUGGACUGGCAUUAUGUUUUCUCAUAACACGCUGACGUCUUGUGCAAAUCUGCCAUCUGGACACUGCUGCUAAGAGGGAGACAGAGCCUGCUCACUUUGGGACAUGUCCUUGAAAGCGUCCCGCUUGGAGUCCUGUGACCUGGGCUGGACACGCCUCUGUGAAGUGUGCUCCCUGGGCUUGGCUCUCACUAGGGGUGUUCACUAGGGGUCACUCAGCAAGUUUGCCUAAGAUGGCCAGUUUCUUGGGUUUUAGCCUCCCACGUUUCUAGAGGCUUCUUAGAGACUGCCAGUAACUGUGCCAUCCCCUCGGAGGGUCUAGGAAGCCUCAUCAUUUGUUUGUUAUUUGGGUAACAGCUUGAUUGAGAUAUAAUUCACAUGCCAUACAAUGAAGUCAUUUAAAGUGUACAAUUUACUGGUUCUUACUGUAUUUGGAGUUGUGCAAGUAUGACCUCGUUUCAUUUUAGAACAUUUUCAUCACCCCAAAGAGAAACCUCAUGCCUAUCACAGUCUCUCCCCAUUCCCCUCGCCGUGCAACCACGAAUCUACUUUUUUCUCUGUGGAUUUGCUAAUUCAGAAUCCUUCAUAUCAACGGUUCACACAAUAUGGGGCCUUCUAUGUCUGGUGUCUUUUGUAGCAUAACGUCGUCAGCGUUCAUCUAUGCCGUUGUGCGUGUCAGCACUUCCUUCCUCUCUAAGGCCGAAUCACGUUCUGUCGCAUGGAUGGACCACAUUUCGUUUAUCCAGUCAUCAGUUGAUGGACUUGGGGCUAUGAUGAAUCGUGCUGCCAUGAACAUUUGUGUACUGGUUUUGAUGUGGAUAUGCAUUUUCGUUUAUGAUUCAUUUUUAUAUGAUUGCUUUCUAGAAGCCAAAUAUGGUCUCUGGAGGACUCUCAUGGAAGACGCUGAGUAAACCAGAAACAAGUUUGGGCUCAAGUUUCUUGUCUGUAAGACAGGUCUGGGAAGAGCAGUGUGUGUGUGUUUGUGUGUGUGUUUCUGUGUAUGUGCAUGGAGAGGACAGGUGUGUGUCUUUCUGUUUGUCCAGUGGGGCAAGGGUUGGGGGGGUGUCUAGUCAGGAGGGGAGCUGGAGAGGCACUCACAACAGAAGGAAACUCUUGGAGGAGGAGUGAUGGAUAGUCGACCCCUCUCCUCUCCUCUCUCACCUCCUUUUUGCUGAGCUGGUGAAAGCUACAGGUGAGGAGGGUUUAAGGGAAUUUGAGCACAGGCCUCAGCUUGGCCCAGUUUGACUUGGAAAGAGGAUGUGGAAUCACCCAUCAGUAGGUCAGCCAGCAGGGAUUGCCUCCCUGUUGCCCCCAUGGUCCUAUUUCAACAGCAGUCUGGAAUGGCCCCUGAAUC